UACAGAGUCAGCAUAGGUUAUAUCUAGCUCCUAUCUUAAGGUAAGUUUUCUGAUGUCUUACUAAAAUUGUCUGCUGUUAAUUUGAAUUAUUAUAUAAAAACUGCUUGUCUUUUUUCUUUAAAGGGAGGGUUUCAUGUACGGUAAAAAAAAUCUAUCCAACACAUUUCUUAGAGAAACAAUGUAUUUUUAUCAAAAAAACAAAUAUUCAAACUUGCUAUGCUAAUCAGAGUUCAAUUUUUGCAUUAUAAAUCAAUUGCAUGGUCACCUUAUAAGUUGGUAGAUAUAUAAACAAGAAGUAUAUUUAAUCUUGUUUUGAUACUUACCAUAUAGCAUAUUUAUAGCAGCAUUUCCCGCAUCUUGAAAGAGAAUAGAGAUUCAAUAUUGAAAAAAACCUUGGGAAGAAUGAACGAAAAGAAUUUUUUUAUUUAAUCUACUGUGUAUUUUCUCAUGAAUUACAUCCGAAAGAUUUCAAACAUGCAUCAUAUAUAAAUGAUUAUUUAACCCUUUUUUAACUCAUUUUACAAUUUUUUUUGUUUUUUUCCUUCUAGUUUUUUACUUUCAAGAAACUAGGUAUACCUGUAAUCGUAUUCUGCAGAAUAUAGCACAAUGUUCACUGUUUUAUUUAUAUUUUUGACAUUUCUACUAGUGUUGUCAAAUCGUACACUUUUGCCUAACCGGUUACUCGUAUAAUCGUUCGACCGAUUAACCGGUUAACCGGUAGUUUAAGUUAAUGUUUGAUUGAAUUGUUGGUUGCUUAACGUCCAUGGCAAAUAUUCAUGCCAUCAGACGAAGUUAAUGUUUGAAGGCCUUAUCUAAAGUACCCUACACAUCGAUUUAAGAAAAUGUGGUAUGAGUGUCAAUGUGACUACAUUCCAUCCAAGUCAUACAUUUACGUUUUUAUAAUACGAUGAAUGGAGUUUGCCUUUUGGUUUUAUAAUGCUUGGUCUGAGAUUCCUGUCGAAGUUUGACUUUUAAUAAUCAAAUACACGGUAUCAAUUAUGGCGUUUGUACUAACUUCAAAUUGAAAAAUAAAGAAAACGUCUUGAUCUUGAAAUUGAUUAAUCCUGAUACAUUGAUUACAUCAUAGAUGUAAUACAUCUAUGAUUACAUUCACGUUGGUUUGCUUUUUACAGUUUUUGAUUUAGUAUUUAGUUAUGACAAAGACCUGCACGACGCACAUUCAGAUGUAGGUCUACACAAUAUGAGAUCAAAAGUGAAAUAAUGAAGUAAAUCGUAAAAUUUAUCGUAUUACUUAAAAAUUAUGUUAAAAAAAACAUGAAACUAAUUAUGUUCCUUAAGACUUGCCCGAGCUGAAGACAAAUUUUGAUUAAUUUUAUAUUUUUGGAUUAACAAUACCAAUCAGUAUACUGGACAGUUGAUCCGUCAAAUUAAUUACCACGACAACAUUUUUUAAAGAAAACACUACUAUUUAAUGAUUUCAAUACACAUUUAUAUGAAAUCUAUUUAAAUUGAAAAAAAGUCCGGUUAACCGGUUAGCUUUUUUGGUAUUCGGUAUUCGAUCGUUCGAACGGUUAACCGGUUAACCGGUUAACCGCUGACAACACUAUUUCUACCUCUAUUGUCUGUUUGUUUUGUUAACAAAUCGUUGUCGAUAUAAUAGAACUUGAUGCGACUGUCAUGCACGUGAGAUGUUUAGCUAGGUAUAUAACCAGGUUUAAAACACCGUUUUCUACAUAAGAAAAUGGCUGAUCCAAGUUGUUAUCCAUUCGUUUGUUGUGUUUGAGCUUUUAAUUUUGUUAUUUGAUUUGGGACUUUCCAAUCGAAAUACUCAAUUCUUUUUUUUUUUUUUUUUAUCCUAAAAGUAACCAUUUUAUCUGUUGUGUAUUUUUUGCAAUACUUAUAAGUAAAUCUUAUUUCGUUUUCUAUGCAUUACAGACGAUCAACUAAAAUGUAUUUCACUUUCGCCGUUGUUUUGCUGACUGUCAUCAGUUCUGCCUACAGCUCUGGUAAAGACUCAUAUGGAUAUGGAAGCGGGUAUGGGUCUGGGUAUGGAUCCGGAGUUGGAUCUGGAUUCCUCCUAGGAGCUGUUGGGGGCGGAUAUGGUGGUUAUGGACUCGGAUCCGGUGUCGGCUCAUUAGCUGUUCUAGGAGGUGUAUCCGGCGGUGGAUAUGGACCAGUAGGUAAAGGCGGAUAUGGACCAGCACCAGUUGUUGUCAGUGGUGGAUACGGCUCUGGAUAUGGCUCUGGGUAUGGAUCCGGAGGUAGGAUCUGCAGUCCUUCUAGGAGGUGGUGGUAGUGGAUAUGGCGGAUAUGGACUCGGAUCCGGUGUCGGCUCAUUAGCUGUUCUGGGAGGUGUAUCCGGUGCUGGAUAUGGACCAGUAGGAAAAGGCGGAUACGGACCAGCACCAGUUGUUGUCAGUGGUGGAUACGGCUCUGGAUAUGGAUCCGGACUUGGUUCUGCAGUCCUUCUAGGAGGUGGCGGAAGCGGAUACGGACCAGUUUCCGUUGGAACUGUCGGUGUCGGAGGUGGUUAUGGUUACGGAAAAGGAUCAAAAUACUAGGUAUGCUUCCGUGGGAAACAAUACAAUACAAAAUCGGUUUCGGCACGGUUUCAAUGAUGGAUAAUGUUAUGUCAGACAGGUCCGACCUAGUGUCGAUGAUAUAUAAUAUGAAAGGUUUUACUUAAGCUAGAACUAUAAAGGUAUUUUUAACACUUCGAGAGGACUUUUCUUCUAAGCAAGAAGUCGUUGUAAAAUGAUCAAAUCGAGUCAUACAUACCAUUCUCUAUAAAUGUUAAAGGUAAAAGUCCUGGAAAAAAAGUUUAUAAAUAAUGGUAGGGUAUUCCUUCGAGAAUAUUUAGUAUUAUAAAUGACUUUAUAUCCAUUAGUUGUGACUAUUUGAAGCUGUAUAUUGUCAACAGGGGGAAUGCAUGAAUAAAUUAUUUUGAAAUAUGGAUUAUAACGCUAGUUUUGAUUCGAUGAGAAAUGUCGUAAUUUUAUUCAAUGGUUAACGUUCACCAUUAAAAAUGACUUUGCACAAUUGCAGUUGAGGUUUCAAAUGUUUGAUUUUAAAUAAAAUAGAUAGAAUUGUAUAAGAAUUAAUAUGAAAUAUUUAAGUGCAUAGAAUCAAAGCCAUGUCAUUUUAUAUUCAUUAUGAUUUAUAUUUACAGAUGAAUACAUUAUUUAAAGAUUUUCGAAGAUGAUGAAUCCAUAGUACUUUCAAUGUCAGAAAACAGUCCUUUGUCCGUGUAAACUCACACCUUACACCGGACGAGGGCUGUACCACAUCUACAGAAUUAUAUAGAUAAUGUUUAUUAAUAAAGAUUUGCCUCUG
rnacentral:lncRNA from 1 species